UACGGAGGGAGCUAGCGUUAUUCGGAAUUACUGGGCGUAAAGCGCACGUAGGCGGCUUUGUAAGUAAGAGGUGAAAGCCUGGAGCUCAACUCCAGAACUGCCUUUUAGACUGCAUCGCUUGAAUCCAGGAGAGGUGAGUGGAAUUCCGAGUGUAGAGGUGAAAUUCGUAGAUAUUCGGAAGAACACCAGUGGCGAAGGCGGCUCACUGGUCCGGUACUGACGCUGAGGUGCGAAAGCGUGGGGAGCAAACAGG
rnacentral:rRNA from 1 species